rnacentral:rRNA from 1 species
CCUACGGGAGGCUGCAGUGGGGGAUAUUGCACAAUGGGGGAAACCCUGAUGCAGCGACGCCGCGUGGGUGAAGAAGCGCCUCGGCGCGUAAAGCCCUGUCAGCAGGGAAGAAAAUGACGGUACCUGAAGAAGAAGCCCCGGCUAACUACGGGCCAGCAGCCGCGGUAAUACGUAGGGGGCAAGCGUUCACCGGAUUUACUGGGUGUAAAGGGGGCGCAGACGGCGAUGCAAGCCAGGAGGGAAAGCCCGGGGCCCAACCCCGGGACUGCUCGUGGAACUGCGUGGCUAGAGUGCAGGAGGGGCAGGCGGAAUUCCUGGGGUAGCGGGGAAAUGCGUAGAUAUCAGGAGGAACACCGGUGGCGAAGGCGGCCUGCUGGACUGCAACUGACGUUGAGGCCCGAAAGCGUGGGGAGCAAACAGGAUUAGAUACCCGGGUAGUC